rnacentral:rRNA from 1 species
AUCUCAGUUCAGAUUGCAGGCUGCAACUCGCCUGCAUGAAGUCGGAAUUGCUAGUAAUCGUAGGUCAGCAUACUACGGUGAAUACGUCCCCGGGCCUUGUACACACCGCCCGUCAAACCAUGAGAGUUGGCAACACCCGAAGUCGGUAGUCUAACCGCAAGGAGGACGCCGCCGAAGGUGGGGUUGAUGAUUAGGGUUAAGUCGUAACAAGGUACC